UACGGAGGGUGCAAGCGUUAUCCGGAUUCACUGGGUUUAAAGGGUGCGUAGGAGGGUAGGUAAGUCAGUGGUGAAAUCUUCGAGCUUAACUCGGAAACUGCCGUUGAUACUAUCUAUCUUGAAUACCGUGGAGGUGAGCGGAAUAUGUCAUGUAGCGGUGAAAUGCUUAGAUAUGACAUAGAACACCAAUUGCGAAGGCAGCUCACUACGCGAAUAUUGACACUGAGGCACGAAAGCGUGGGGAUCGAAACAAGG
rnacentral:rRNA from 1 species